GCUUAGCUGGAAAAAUUAUCACUGAGGAGAAUUUUAUCCUCUUUUUGUCUCUGCAUCUGUUAACUGCCAUGUGCUUAGAAAAAUUGAAAUCAAGAGGGAAGUGAGAGAUAGAGUGGGAAAGAGAGGCGCCUGCAGCACUGCUUCACUGCUCAUGGAACUUUACUCCUGCAGGUCACUGAGAUGGCUCGCCCCCUGCUGGCCAAGGCAGGUAUCGCUGUAACCAGCAACAUCCAUGGUGCAUGUCUGAAGUGUGUCUGGUGACCUCAACCUGGGACCACAGGCACCCCUGAUGAAAAGAGCACUGCUCAUCUUUGGCUUAUGGUGGUGCUGGGAAUUGAACUUGGAACUUCAGACUCUCAGCCACCAAGUUCCAGAUGCUAGCAUGAUGCCGACCAGACUUCCCUGGACAGACAACCUCACCAAUGUGUCCUGGAGCUCCUCUUUCCUAGAAUCCCACCCUACUAGGGAAAGAGAAAAACAGGUUGGGGGAUAUGGAUCGACCAGUCAAAACCCAUGUUCAGAGGGGAAGCAAUUAUAGAAGCCAGACCUUCCACCUUUUGCAUCCCACAACAACCUUAGGUCCAUACUCCCAGAGGGAUAAUGAAUAGGAAAGCUAUCAGGGGAGGGGAUGAGAUACAGAAAGCUAGUGGUGGGAAUUGUGUGGAGUUGUAACCCUCUUAUCCUAUGGUUUUGUCAGUGUUUCCUUUUUAUAAAUAAAAAAUUAAAUAAUGAAA